CCUACGGGAGACAGCAGUGGGGAAUAUUGGGCAAUGGACGCAAGUCUGACCCAGCAACGCCGCGUGAAGGAAGAAGGCUUUCGGGUUGUAAACUUCUUUUAAGGGGGAAGAGCAGAAGACGGUACCCCUUGAAUAAGCCACGGCUAACUACGUGCCAGCAGCCGCGGUAAUACGUAGGUGGCAAGCGUUGUCCGGAUUUCCUGGGUGUAAAGGGCGUGCAGCCGGAGAGACAAGUCAGAUGUGAAAUCCACGGGCUCAACCCGUGAACUGCAUUUGAAACUGUUUCCCUUGAGUGUCGGAGAGGUAAUCGGAAUGCCUGGUGUAGCGGUGAAAUGCGUAGAUAUAAGGAAGAACACCAGUGGCGAAGGCAGAUUACUGGACGAUAACUGACGGUGAGGCGCGAAAGCGUGGGGAGCAAACAGGAUUAGAUACCCCAGUAGUC
rnacentral:rRNA from 1 species